CAGGUGACCCCAGACCCCAUCAGGUGACCCCACCAGGUGACCCCAGACCCCAUCAGGUGACCCCACCAGGUGACCCCAUCAGGUGACCCCAGGUGACCCCACCAGGUGACCCCAUCAGGUGACCCCAGACCCCAUCAGGUGACCCCACCUGGUGACCCCAGCAGGUGACCCCAUCAGGUGACCCCAGCAGGUGACCCCAAACCCCAUCAGGUGACCCCAUCAGGUGACCCCAUCAGGUGACCCCACCAGGUGACCCCAGCAGGUGACCCCAUCAGGUGACCCCAUCAGGUGACCCCAGCAGGUGACCCCAAACCCCAUCAGGUGACCCCACCAGGUGACCCCAGCAGGUGACCCCCGCCG